rfam:Loxodonta africana unplaced genomic scaffold scaffold_54, whole genome shotgun sequence.
CCCUGGGUGGUGCAAACGGUUAACAUGCUCAGCUGCUAACUGAAAGGUUGAUGGUUCAAGUCCACCCAGAGGUG